rnacentral:pre_miRNA from 1 species
AAAGGGAUAGCUGGGUCAAAUGGUCCAUUCCCAGAUUUCCAAGAAAUCUCCAUACUGCUUUCCAUACUGGCUGCACCAAUUUGCAGUCCCACUAACAGU